GGCCCAUCCCCUACAGACAUCAUCCUGAGCAGCACAUCAGCACCACCCACCUCAUCCCAGCCACCCCUGCAGCUAUCAGAGGUGAACAUACCAUUGUCACUGGGCGUCUGUCCAUUGGGGCCAGUGUCCCUCACCAAGGAGCAGCUAUACCAACAGGCCAUGGAAGAGGCCGCCUGGCACCACAUGCCCCACCCCUCUGACUCCGAGCGCAUUCGGUGAGGGGCUGCAAAAGGGGCUGGGACCGGGACUCCCGAGUCUGAGGGAGGAGCUGGUUCCUGGGUCCUGAGAGACUAGGUAGAGUACUCGUCUCAAAGUGCUGAGGACUUGGCUUGGGGCUCCCUAAAGCAGGUUGAAAUGUGCUUCUGAACACCCUCUUGAAGGCAGGGCAAG
rnacentral:lncRNA from 1 species